rnacentral:rRNA from 1 species
UACAGAGGGUGCGAGCGUUAAUCGGAAUUACUGGGCGUAAAGCGUGCGUAGACGGCUAUCUAAGUCGGGUGUGAAAGCCCCGGGCUCAACCUGGGAAUUGCAUUCGAGACUGAAUAGCUAGGGUACGGUAGAGGGAAGCGGAAUUUCCGGUGUAGCGGUGAAAUGCGUAGAGAUCGGGAAGAACAUCGGUGGCGAAAGCGCUCUACUGGACGGUAUCUGACACUGAGGGACGAAAGCUAGGGGAGCGAAUGGG